GACGAACGCUGGCGGCGUGCCUAAUACAUGCAAGUAGAACGCAGUUGCGAACGGGUGAGUAACGCGUCGGUAACUGCCUGGUAGCGGGGGAUAACUAAUGGCAACGAUAGCUAAUACCGCAUACUACCAGAUGGACCUGCGUUGUAUUAGUUAGUUGGUGAGGUAACGGCCCACCAAGGCAACGCUACAUAGCCGACCUGAGAGGGGGAUCGGCCACACUGGGACUGAGACACGGCCCAGACUCCUGCGGGAGGCAGCAGUAGGGAAUCUUCGGCAAUGGGGGGAACUCUGACCGAGCAACGCCGCGUGAGUGAAGAAGGUUUUCGGAUCGUAAAGCUCUGUUGUUAAGGAAGCGGUACCUAACCAGAAAGGCACGGCUAACUACGUGCCAGCAGCCGCGGUAAUUC
rnacentral:rRNA from 1 species